rnacentral:misc_RNA from 1 species
GUGCGGUCCAAGCAUCAACUGUCACAUGGUUUUGUGUCAAAAACCCUAGGCUGAGAAUUUGCAGCCGCCGCCGCCUUUUGUUUGUAUCAAUCGCCCCUCCUCACUUUCUCUCUCAUCUACCCCCACUUUCUCUCUCCUCCAUGCCUCACCUCCGCGGUCAAUGGAGGGCAUGAUGCUCUCCUUCCCGCGGCCCAAGCCGCUGCACUCGCUGAGCUUCGCUUCCACGCCGCCUCUUCUGCGGAUAUCCGCAACUUCAAUCCCAAUCCUUGCCGAUGAGGGGCAAAAUCGUCAUUCCUGCGCGUGUCGUCGGACGACUGCCGUGGUACCGUCGAUAUGGCACGCAAUCACGCCGUCGUCGGGCUGUGCCGCCGCCAGCAGGGCCUCACUGCGACGGCGGCUGCGGGGACUGAGCGCGGAGGAGGGGUCAUGGAACGCGGCGUGGGAUGCGAGACCGGCGCGGUGGUUACAUGGUUCGGAUUCUGCGUGGUUGCUGUUUGGUGUUUGCUCUUGCUAUUCACCGGUGGGGAUGGUUGGGGUUGGGGUUGAUGAGGCGGUGGUGGAGGUGGGGACCGAGGCCGGAGAUGUUGCGGUGGCGGAGGCGAAGCCGGCUGAGGAUUAUAAGCUUAUAGGCAUGUCUGCCGAUGGGCGAUGCCUGUUUAGAGCUGUUGCCUAUGGGGCUUGCUUAGCCACCGGCAAAGAAGCUCCUGAUGAAACACAACAAAAGAAACUUGCUGAUGACUUGAGAGCUCAUGUUGUGGAUGAGCUCAUAAAGAGGCGCAACGAAAUCGAACGGUUCAUCGAAGAGGAUUUUGACAAAUAUAUCGAGCGUAUCCGACAACCAUACAUAUGGGGAGGGGAACCUGAGUUAUUGAUGGCUUCUCAUGUGUUGCAAAUACCUUUAUCCGUCUUCAUGAUAGAUGGAAGUUCAAGUCGUUUGAUAAAUAUCGCGAAUUAUGGGGAGGAGUAUAAGGACAAAGACAUUUCAAUUAAGGUGUUGUUCCAUGGAUAUGGGCACUAUGAUGCAUUAGAGAUUGCUACCAAAGUAAAAUGAACAAUGGUAGACGAGGAAGAUUUAUUUUUUUGGUUGGAAUGCAUGAGCAAUUCCGUAUAAUCAUCUAAUAAUAGAGGAUUUUAAAUCCUUCAAAAUAAUUGGUUAUUGAGUACGCCUCUUUGAUGACGUGAUAGAGUUGUAUCAUUCUAUCAAUUGGAUAGAAAAGUAUAUAUUCUU